UCCGUGGUAGUUCAGUAGCUAAGACUCUGUGCUCCCAACGCAGAAGGCCUGGGUUCGAUCCCUGGUCAGGGAA
rnacentral:tRNA from 1 species